AGUGAACGCUGGCGGUAGGCCUAACACAUGCAAGUCGAACGGCAGCACAGUAAGAGCUUGCUCUUACGGGUGGCGAGUGGCGGACGGGUGAGGAAUACAUCGGAAUCUACUUUUUCGUGGGGGAUAACGUAGGGAAACUUACGCUAAUACCGCAUAUGACCUACGGGUGAAAGCAGGGGAUCUUCGGACCUUGCGCGAUUGAAUGAGCCGAUGUCGGAGUAGCUAGUUGGCGGGGUAAAGGCCCACCAAGGCGACGAUCCGUAGCUGGUCUGAGAGGAUGAUCAGCCACACUGGAACUGAGACACGGUCCAGACUCCUACGGGAGGCAGCAGUGGGGAAUAUUGGACAAUGGGCGCAAGCCUGAUCCAGCCAUACCGCGUGGGUGAAGAAGGCCUUCGGGUUGUAAAGCCCUUUUGUUGGGAAAGAAAAGCAGCAGGUUAAUACCCCGCUGUUCUGACGGUACCCAAAGAAUAAGCACCGGCUAACUUCGUG
rnacentral:rRNA from 1 species